AUUGAACGCUGGCGGCAGGCCUAACACAUGCAAGUCGAACGGUAACAGGAACAAGCUUGCUGCUUCGCUGACGAGUGGCGGACGGGUGAGUAAUGUCUGGGAAAGUGCCUGAUGGAGGGGGAUAACUACUGGAAACGGUAGCUAAUACCGCAUAACGUCGCAAGACCAAAGAGGGGGACCUUCGGGCCUCUUGCCAUCGGAUGUGCCCAGAUGGGAUUAGCUAGUAGGUGGGGUAACGGCUCACCUAGGCGACGAUCCCUAGCUGGUCUGAGAGGAUGACCAGCCACACUGGAACUGAGACACGGUCCAGACUCCUACGGGAGGCAGCAGUGGGGAAUAUUGCACAAUGGGCGCAAGCCUGAUGCAGCCAUGCCGCGUGUAUGAAGAAGGCCUUCGGGUUGUAAAGUACUUUCAGCGGGGAG
rnacentral:rRNA from 1 species